UGGGACCUACAGGGCUCGAACCUGUGACCCUCUGCUUGUAAGGCAGAUGCUCUCCCAGCUGAGCUAAGAUCCC
rnacentral:tRNA from 1 species